GACGAACGCUGGCGGCGUGCCUAAUACAUGCCAGUAGAACGCUGAAGAGAGGAGCUUGCUCUUCUUGGAUGAGUUGCGAACGGGUGAGUAACGCGUAGGUAACCUGCCUUGUAGCGGGGGAUAACUAUUGGAAACGAUAGCUAAUACCGCAUAACAAUGGAUGACACAUGUCAUUUAUUUGAAAGGGGCAAUUGCUCCACUACAAGAUGGACCUGCGUUGUAUUAGCUAGUAGGUGAGGUAACGGCUCACCUAGGCGACGAUACAUAGCCGACCUGAGAGGGGGAUCGGCCACACUGGGACUGAGACACGGCCCAGACUCCUACGGGAGGCAGCAGUAGGGAAUCUUCGGCAAUGGGGGCAACCCUGACCGAGCAACGCCGCGUGAGUGAAGAAGGUUUUCGGAUCGUAAAGCUCUGUUGUAAGUCAAGAACGAGUGUGAGAGUGGAAAGUUCACACUGUGACGGUAGCUUACCAGAAAGGGACGGCUAACUACGUG
rnacentral:rRNA from 1 species